rnacentral:rRNA from 1 species
AUUGAACGCUGGCGGCAGGCCUAACACAUGCAAGUCGAGCGAGCGGCGGACGGGUGAGUAAUGUCUGGGAAACUGCCUGAUGGAGGGGGAUAACUACUGGAAACGGUAGCUAAUACCGCAUACCAUCAGAUGUGCCCAGAUGGGGUUAGCUAGUAGGGUGGGUAACGGCUCACCUAGGCGACGAUCCCUAGCUGGUCUGAGAGGAUGACCAUCCACACUGGAACUUAGAAAGUGUCCAGCGUCCUACGGGAGGCAGCAGUGGGGAAUAUUGCACAAUGGGCGCAAGCCUGAUGCAGCCAUGCCGCGUGUGUGAAUAAGGCCUUCGGGUUGUAAAGCACUUUCAGCGGGGAGGCGUUACCCGCAGAAGAAGCACCGGCUAACUCCGUGCCAGCCGCCGCGGUAAUAC